GAUUUUGGGCCUUAUAUACGGAUUUGGGCUGUAGAUAAUGAUGUUUUUUCUUGUAGUGAUAUCCAAAAAACUGAUUUUGAGCGGGAACACGUGAAGAAUAUUCCAUAUGCUUAAGCUUUUGGAAACCUUAUGUAUGCACAGGUUUGCACUAGACCUGACAUUGCAUAUGUUGUUGGAGUUUUGGAAAGAUAUCAGAGUAAUUCAGGUGUUGACCACUGGAAAGCUGCAAAGAAGUUAAUUAGAUAUCUUCAAGAAGGCUGAAAUCAACUAUCUUGCAACUACAACAUCCUAAUCUUGUCAAGUUCAUAGGCUACUACUUAGAGGCUCAACACAGGCUUCUAGUUUAUGAAUAUAUCUUUGCAGUUGUUUGCUAUCACUCAAAGCCUUGGUUUUAUUUAAAUAAAUUGUAAUCUGAAACUACUUUAAAUAUUGUGAAAGUUUAUAGAGUUUGAAUUUCAAGAA